rnacentral:rRNA from 1 species
AAGUCGAGCGGAAAGGCCCCUUCGGGGGUACUCGAGCGGCGAACGGGUGAGUAACACGUGAGCAACCUGCCCCUGACUCUGGGAUAAGCCUGGGAAACUGGGUCUAAUACCGGAUGUGACCACUCAACGCAUGUUGUGGUGGUGGAAAGUUUUUUCGGUUGGGGAUGGGCUCGCGGCCUAUCAGCUUGUUGGUGGGGUGAUGGCCUACCAAGGCGACGACGGGUAACCGGCCUGAGAGGGCGACCGGUCACACUGGGACUGAGACACGGCCCAGACUCCUACGGGAGGCAGCAGUGGGGAAUAUUGCGCAAUGGGCGGAAGCCUGACGCAGCGACGCCGCGUGGGGGAUGACGGCCUUCGGGUUGUAAACCUCUUUCAGCAGGGACGAAGGGUGACUGACGGUACCUGCAGAAGAAGCGCCGGCUAACUACGUGCCAGCAGCCGCGGUAAUACGUAGGGCGCAAGCGUUGUCCGGAAUUAUUGGGCGUAAAGAGCUCGUAGGCGGUCUGUCGCGUCGGGUGUGAAAGCCCACGGCUUAACCGUGGGUCUGCAUUCGAUACGGGCAGACUAGAGGCAGGUAGGGGAGCAUGGAAUUCCCGGUGUAGCGGUGAAAUGCGCAGAUAUCGG